GAUUGGACGCUGGCGGCAGGCUUAACACAUGCAAGUCGAACGGAGUAUAGAGCUUGCUCUAUAUUUAGUGGCGAACGGGUGAGUAAUGCCUAGGAAUCUGCCCAUUAGCGGGGGAUAACGUGUGGAAACGCACGCUAAUACCGCAUACGCCCUACGGGGGAAAGCAGGGGAUCUUCGGACCUUGCACUAAUGGAUGAGCCUAGGUCGGAUUAGCUAGUUGGUAGGGUAAAGGCCUACCAAGGCUACGAUCUGUAGCGGGUCUGAGAGGAUGAUCCGCCACACUGGAACUGAGACACGGUCCAGACUCCUACGGGAGGCAGCAGUGGGGAAUAUUGGACAAUGGGGGCAACCCUGAUCCAGCCAUGCCGCGUGUGUGAAGAAGGCCUUUUGGUUGUAAAGCACUUUAAGCGAGGAGGAGGGUACUCUGGUUAAUACCUAGAUGUAUCGGACGUUACUCGCAGAAUAAGCACCGGCUAACUCUGUGCCAGCAGCCGCGGUAAUACAGAGGGUGCGAGCGUUAAUCGGAAUUACUGGGCGUAAAGCGCGCGUAGGCGGUUAUGUAAGUUGGAUGUGAAAUCCCUGGGCUUAACCUGGGCACUGCAUUCAAAACUGCAUAGCUAGAGUAUGGGAGAGGAUGGUAGAAUUCCAGGUGUAGCGGUGAAAUGCGUAGAGAUCUGGAGGAAUACCGAUGGCGAAAGGCAGCCAUCUGGCCUAAUACUGACGCUGAGGUGCGAAAGCAUGGGGAGCAAACAGGAUUAGAUACCCUGGUAGUCCAUGCCGUAAACGAUGUCAACUAGCCGUUGGGGACCUUGAGUCCUUAGUGGCGCAGCUAACGCGAUAAGUUGACCGCCUGGGGAGUACGGUCGCAAGACUAAAACUCAAAUGAAUUGACGGGGGCCCGCACAAGCGGUGGAGCAUGUGGUUUAAUUCGAUGCAACGCGAAGAACCUUACCUAGCCUUGACAUGUCUGGAAUCUUGUAGAGAUACGAGAGUGCCUUCGGGAAUCAGAACACAGGUGCUGCAUGGCUGUCGUCAGCUCGUGUCGUGAGAUGUUGGGUUAAGUCCCGCAACGAGCGCAACCCUUUUCCUUAUUUGCCAGCACUUCGGGUGGGAACUCUAAGGAUACUGCCAGUGACAAACUGGAGGAAGGCGGGGACGACGUCAAGUCAUCAUGGCCCUUACGGCUAGGGCUACACACGUGCUACAAUGGUCGGUACAAAGGGUCGCUAACCCGCGAGGGCAUGCCAAUCUCAAAAAGCCGAUCGUAGUCCAGAUUGGAGUCUGCAACCCGACUCCAUGAAGUCGGAAUCGCUAGUAAUCGCGGAUCAGAAUGUCGCGGUGAAUACGUUCCCGGGCCUUGUACACACCGCCCGUCACACCAUGGGAGUUUGUUGCACCAGAAGUAGUUAGCCUAACCGCAAGGAGGGCGAUUACCACGGUGUGGCCAAUGACUGGGGU
rnacentral:rRNA from 1 species